AACCUAAAAAGGCACAACAAACGGCAGCUGAUACAUAAGAAGGUCAGGCAAAUGGACUGCUCUGGGCUGCAGCGAGAAGAGCUGCUCGGUAGGCUGACACCUUGCUGAUCCAUCGAAGGUCCUGCAGUUAUUUUUAGGGGUCGCCCGGCAGCUGAAGAGCCAGUCCUGGUCACCAACAUCUGUAUCUUCCAUCUGUGUGGGUGAUGGUUUCCAGUUCACAAACAAAUCUGCAAGCUUCCUCCCUUUCUUCUCAGCCUUGCGGCUUUUCCGGUCAGAGCUGGACUGUUGUGCCUCUGUUACUGGGGAUGCUGCUGCCAAGACACUUCCAACAGAACAAGGCUCUUCUUGUGCUUCGGGCACAAUCUGUUGCUGCUGCUUGACAACAGGUGGUUCGACAUGCGCCUUCGGUUUGUUCAACAAGCCAGGUGGCUCAACACACAACAUCUCCGGCUUGCUUAACAAGAUAGGUGGAUCAGCACACACCUUGGGCUUGUUUAGCAGAGUAGGUCGCCCUGUGUUAAGCUGGCCCCCAAGUAGGGGACCUCCUGUUUCUUUCCUCAACUGAACUUGAGUACUCUCUCUGUUGAACACUUUCGAAAGAGUGAUAUGGCCAGCUAUUUGCAUUGCUUUCACAGGUGUAGCUUCAACCUCUUGCAUCACCUUUGUGGACGUGGGAUUAGCUCUCUGCAUUGACUUCACAGGUGCAGCUUCAACCCCUUGCAUAACCUUUGUGGGCGCAGGAUUAGCUCUUUGCAUCACUGCCUUCUCAGAUGAAGGCGGAUCAACUCUUUGCAUCGCAGCAAUCGGUGUUGACUUAGUUCUAACUCUCUGCACCAUAUUGACUCUUUGCAUGGACUUUGCAUCAUGCUGCUGACUGACUUUUCUUGACUCAUCCAAACAAUUGCCAUUCCUUAUAGACAUGUUCUUCUGUUGGGAGACAACUUGUUUCACCACUGACACUGUGUUGACAUGAGGCUGGAACUCUCUCUUCCUAUUGGCCAUGGACAGAUCCAUUCCGGUUUCUUUGACUGGUGAUUGUUCAGUAACUCUUGGUUUCAUUGACAUUCCUGUUGUUGCUUCUGGGUCUCUUCUUUGAUUUGUAGAAAAAUCCUUACCAUUUCUGGUUUGACUAGGGCUACUUGACACUUCAGUCCUCAGCCUCUUAGUGCUGUCCAGUGAGCUCUCUGGGGUACAACGCAAAGCCUGACUGUAGGAAGGAGCCUCAUGCUCUUCAGAAAGACUGCUCUUCUCCAAAUGCUCCAUGGUAACAUUACAAACUUUUCUUGUCUCCUCGCCAACUAUUUCACAGCCUGAGUGCUUUCUCUUCUUAUGGCCAUGCUUAGAGUGAUGAUCAUCUGUCUCAUAUUUCUCACCCAGCUGGGCAGCUUUCUUUUGUCUCCUUUUCUCUUUCUUCCUUUCCUUCUUUUCCUUCUUUUGCAUCAUUUCCCUUUCUUUCUGGAGCUUCAGCCACCAGAUUAAUCGUCAGUUCCAAUUCAGAACAGACGACGGGAAUGCAAAGAGGCAUGAAAACAAUGCACCAAUAUUGAUACUUUUUCUAGCGUAUAAUCAAUAAUCCGGACUCAACAGAUAAGAAACCAGUCCCCUUUGAAUUAUCCAACAAUGCUUACCUUCAACCUACAAAGUUCACUA
rnacentral:sRNA from 1 species